rnacentral:hammerhead_ribozyme from 1 species
AUCCGACUGACGAGUCCUGAGUAGGACGAAACGCGCGUUCUUGAU